GGCUCAGGAUGAACGCUAGCUACAGGCUUAACACAUGCAAGUCGAGGGGCAGCAUUUUAGUUUGCUUGCAAACUGAAGAUGGCGACCGGCGCACGGGUGAGUAACACGUAUCCAACCUGCCGAUAACUCCGGAAUAGCCUUUCGAAAGAAAGAUUAAUACCGGAUAGCAUACGAAUAUCGCAUGAUAUUUUUAUUAAAGAAUUUCGGUUAUCGAUGGGGAUGCGUUCCAUUAGUUUGUUGGCGGGGUAACGGCCCACCAAGACUACGAUGGAUAGGGGUUCUGAGAGGAAGGUCCCCCACAUUGGAACUGAGACACGGUCCAAACUCCUACGGGAGGCAGCAGUGAGGAAUAUUGGUCAAUGGGCGAGAGCCUGAACCAGCCAAGUAGCGUGAAGGAUGAAGGCUCUAUGGGUCGUAAACUUCUUUUAUAUGGGAAUAAAGUUUUCCACGUGUGGAAUUUUGUAUGUACCAUAUGAAUAAGGAUCGGCUAACUCCGUGCCAGCAGCCGCGGUAAUACGGAGGAUCCGAGCGUUAUCCGGAUUUAUUGGGUUUAAAGGGAGCGUAGGUGGAUUGUUAAGUCAGUUGUGAAAGUUUGCGGCUCAACCGUAAAAUUGCAGUUGAAACUGGCAGUCUUGAGUACAGUAGAGGUGGGCGGAAUUCGUGGUGUAGCGGUGAAAUGCUUAGAUAUCACGAAGAACUCCGAUUGCGAAGGCAGCUCACUAGACUGUCACUGACACUGAUGCUCGAAAGUGUGGGUAUCAAACAGGAUUAGAUACCCUGGUAGUCCACACAGUAAACGAUGAAUACUCGCUGUUUGCGAUAUACAGUAAGCGGCCAAGCGAAAGCAUUAAGUAUUCCACCUGGGGAGUACGCCGGCAACGGUGAAACUCAAAGGAAUUGACGGGGGCCCGCACAAGCGGAGGAACAUGUGGUUUAAUUCGAUGAUACGCGAGGAACCUUACCCGGGCUUAAAUUGCAACAGAAUAUAUUGGAAACAGUAUAGCCGUAAGGCUGUUGUGAAGGUGCUGCAUGGUUGUCGUCAGCUCGUGCCGUGAGGUGUCGGCUUAAGUGCCAUAACGAGCGCAACCCUUAUCUUUAGUUACUAACAGGUUAUGCUGAGGACUCUAGAGAGACUGCCGUCGUAAGAUGUGAGGAAGGUGGGGAUGACGUCAAAUCAGCACGGCCCUUACGUCCGGGGCUACACACGUGUUACAAUGGGGGGUACAGAAGGCGGCUACCUGGUGACAGGAUGCUAAUCCCAAAAACCUCUCUCAGUUCGGAUCGAAGUCUGCAACCCGACUUCGUGAAGCUGGAUUCGCUAGUAAUCGCGCAUCAGCCAUGGCGCGGUGAAUACGUUCCCGGGCCUUGUACACACCGCCCGUCAAGCCAUGAAAGCCGGGGGUACCUGAAGUACGUAACCGCAAGGAGCGUCCUAGGGUAAAACUGG
rnacentral:rRNA from 1 species